CCAUCCAAGUACUAACAAGGCCCGGCCCUACUUAGCGUCCGAGAGCAGAUGCGAUCGGGUGCGUUCAGGGUGAUGUGGCCAUAGA
rnacentral:sRNA from 1 species